rfam:Pseudomonas entomophila str. L48 chromosome,complete sequence.
UUGACUACGUAAUGAGAAUCGUUAUGAUUAUCACAGCUGGUCGCGAGACUGGUUGGGUAACCUGAAAGCUCCCUGGUUCGGACUCUCAGAUUAUCUCCUCAUCAGGCUAAUCACGGUUAUUGACCCGGCAACUUGCCGGGUCUUUUUUUG